UACGGAGGAUCCGAGCGUUAUCCGGAUUUAUUGGGUUUAAAGGGAGCGUAGGUGGAUUGUUAAGUCAGUUGUGAAAGUUUGCGGCUCAACCGUAAAAUUGCAGUUGAAACUGGCAGUCUUGAGUACAGUAGAGGUGGGCGGAAUUCGUGGUGUAGCGGUGAAAUGCUUAGAUAUCACGAAGAACUCCAAUUGCGAAGGCAGCUCACUAGACUGCAACUGACACUGAUGCUCGAAAGUGUGGGUAUCAAACAGG
rnacentral:rRNA from 1 species